rnacentral:rRNA from 1 species
GUAGUCCACGCCGUAAACGAUGGGCACUAGGUGCUUGGGGGAGCGACCCCCCGAGUGCCGGCGCUAACGCAUUAAGUGCCCCGCCUGGGGAGUACGACCGCAAGGUUGAAACUCAAAGGAAUUGACGGGGGCCCGCACAAGCGGUGGAGCAUGUGGUUUAAUUCGACGCAACGCGAAGAACCUUACCCAGACUUGACAUGUACGAGAAAGCCUCUGGAAACAGGGGCCCCUCUUCGGAGCUCGUGCACAGGUGCUGCAUGGCUGUCGUCAGCUCGUGUCGUGAGAUGUUGGGUUAAGUCCCGCAACGAGCGCAACCCUUGCCCUUAGUUACCAGCGAGUAAAGUCGGGGACUCUAGGGGGACUGCCGGUGCCAAACCGGA